rnacentral:rRNA from 1 species
UAGGGGCUUGCCAUGGUGACAACGGGUGACGGGGAAUUAGGGGUUCGAUUCCGGAGAGGGGAGCCUGAGAAACGGCUACCACUUCCAAGGAAGGCAGCAGGCGCGCAAAUUACCCAAUACUGAUUCGGUGAGGUAGUGACAAGAAAUACCAAUAUAGGACCCAACGGGGUACUAUGUUUGGAAUGAGUACAAUUUAAAAACCUUAACGAGGAACAAUUGGAGGGCAAGUCUGGUGCCAGCAGCCGCGGUAAUUCCAGCUCCAAUAGUGUAUAUUAAAGUUGCUGCGGUUAAAAAGCUCGUAGUUGGAUUUCGGAGUUGUUAUCUGAACCUUCUCGCCCUAAAAAGUGGGGGGGCUAAGGUAGCAGUAGUUUUCAUCAUAGUCCAUCAGGAUACUCUCUUGAUGUGUACUGGGUGUUAACCUCCUUUUUUUCUGGUACUUGCUAUCCAGCAAUGGGUAGUUUGUCCAGAUAGUUUACUUGAAAAAUUAGAGUGUUCAAAGCAGGCAUAAUUGGCAUCAUGAAUACAUUAGCAUGGGAUAAUAGAAUAUAG